UCGAGGAUCUUCGGCAAUGGGCGAAAGCCUGACCGAGCGACGCCGCGUGUGCGAUGAAGGCCUUCGGGUUGUAAAGCACUGUCGUGGGGGAGAAAGACCGCAAGGUUUGAUCGACCCCAGGAGGAAGCUCGGGCUAAGUUCGUGCCAGCAGCCGCGGUAAGACGAACCGAGCGAACGUUAUUCGGAAUCACUGGGCUUAAAGGGCGCGUAGGCGGGCGGCCAAGUCAGGGGUGAAAGCCUCCAGCUCAACUGGAGAAGUGCCUUUGAUACUGGUCGUCUCGAGGGAGAUAGGGGCGUGCGGAACUUCCGGUGGAGCGGUGAAAUGCGUAGAUAUCGGAAGGAACACCGGUGGCGAAAGCGGCGCGCUGGAUCUCUUCUGACGCUGAGGCGCGAAAGCCAGGGGAGCGAACGGGAUUAGAUACCCCCGUAGUCC
rnacentral:rRNA from 1 species